UAGGGAAUCUUCCGCAAUGGACGCAAGUCUGACGGAGCAACGCCGCGUGAGUGAUGAAGGUUUUCGGAUCGUAAAACUCUGUUGCGAGGGAAGAAACCGUGCCAGCUAACUACUGGCACCUUGACGGUACCUCGCCAGAAAGCCACGGCUAACUACGUGCCAGCAGCCGCGGUAAUACGUAGGUGGCAAGCGUUGUCCGGAAUUAUUGGGCGUAAAGCGCGCGCAGGCGGUCCCUUAAGUCUGAUGUGAAAGCCCACGGCUCAACCGUGGAGGGUCAUUGGAAACUGGGGGACUUGAGUGCAGAAGAGGAAAGUGGAAUUCCAUGUGUAGCGGUGAAAUGCGUAGAGAUGUGGAGGAACACCAGUGGCGAAGGCGACUUUCUGGUCUGUAACUGACGCUGAGGCGCGAAAGCGUGGGGAGCAAACAG
rnacentral:rRNA from 1 species